CCUACGGGUGGCAGCAGUGAGGAAUAUUGGUCAAUGGACGAGAGUCUGAACCAGCCAAGUAGCGUGAAGGAUGACUGCCCUAUGGGUUGUAAACUUCUUUUAUAUGGGAAUAAAAUGUUCCACGUGUGGGAUUUUGUAUGUACUAUAUGAAUAAGGAUCGGCUAACUCCGUGCCAGCAGCCGCGGUAAUACGGAGGAUCCGAGCGUUAUCCGGAUUUAUUGGGUUUAAAGGGAGCGUAGGUGGAUUGUUAAGUCAGUUGUGAAAGUUUGCGGCUCAACCGUAAAAUUGCAGUUGAAACUGGCAGUCUUGAGUACAGUAGAGGUGGGCGGAAUUCGUGGUGUAGUGGUGAAAUGCUUAGAUAUCACGAAGAACUCCGAUUGCGAAGGCAGUUCACUGGACUGCAACUGACACUGAGGCUCGAAAGUGUGGGUAUCAAACAGGAUUAGAUACCCCAGUAGUC
rnacentral:rRNA from 1 species